GGUGAUGGAUAAGCACAUGACAUGAGUAUAUUGGCGAAGCAGCACAUUGAGACGCGUUUUGUGAAGAUCCAAGCUGAGAAAAGUCCGUUCUUGGCUGAGAGGCUCACGAUUGUGGUUCUUCCCACUCUUUGCCCUCAUUAAGAACACGAAAGUGGAUGAUUAUGUGGCUGGGUUUAAUGAGCUGGGAGGGAAAGACGAUUUCAGCACAGAUGAUCUGGAAGACAGGUUAGCUAGAGCUCAAGUUAUUCAUUACGAGGGUGAAUCAUCAUCUCAUAAGGUAAAGUCUAUGACACAAGCCAGGAGGAGUGUAAGGCAGAGUGCUAAUUCAGAUUCUGACUCUGAAUGAAUCCCAAGUCUUAAUAAUAUAAAGGAGGAAACAUGAAAUGUAAGUGAGCUUGUUGUUGAGUUUUAUUUGAACUAAUUAAGUUAGUCAUAUGUAAUAUUCAAAGCUAUUCAUUAGUCUUUUUGAUGAUCUAAUAUGGAUUUUUUAACCUUUUAACAUUAUUUAUUAUUUUAUCAAAAAUUAUGAAAAUUUUCAAGUA